GAGUUUGAUCCUGGCUCAGGACGAACGCUGGCGGCGUGCUUAACACAUGCAAGUCGAGCGGUAAGGCCCUUUCGGGGGUACACGAGCGGCGAACGGGUGAGUAACACGUGGGUAACCUGCCCUCAGCUCUGGGAUAAGCCCGGGAAACUGGGUCUAAUACCGGAUAUGACUCCGCAUCGCAUGGUGUGGGGUGGAAAGCCUUGUGCGGCUGAGGAUGGGCCCGCGGCCUAUCAGCUUGUUGGUGGGGUAGUGGCCUACCAAGGCGACGACGGGUAGUCCGGCCUGAGAGGG
rnacentral:rRNA from 1 species